GCUGGGCAUGGUGGUGCACGCCUGUAGUCCCAGCUAUUGGGAGGCUGAGGCAGGAGAAUUGCUUGACCUCGGGAGACAGGGUUGCAGUGAGCCGAUUGCACCACUGCACUCUAGCCUGGUGACAGAGCGAGACUCCGUCUCAAGAAAACAAAAAACAAAAAAAAACUAUAACUUAGUUUUUUGUUUUGUUUUGUUUUUUUGAGAUGGAGUCUCACUCUGUCACCCAGGCUGGAGGGCAGUGGUGCAAACUCAGCUCACUGCAACUUCUGCCUCCUGGGGUCAAGUGAUUCUCCUGCCUCAG
rnacentral:sRNA from 1 species